GAGGUGGUUUCCUCCUAUCUCCUUCAGGGUGGAGUUGGCCAUCAGAAAAGUUCCCAUGAGACUUGGAGGAAGAGGCAGCCGAACGCUGACACAGUUAGGAUCCCAGGUCAUAUCUGGCCAGUCCAGGUUGGGAUGGAGAUGAAGAAAGGACCUGGAGUUGUCAGAGAGCCCUGGAAGGACGUUUCUAGCCUUGAUUUUUGGUAAGCAAUUUUUAUUUCCCUGACCCUCAGAACUAGUUUGAAGCUAAUGUCCCUCAAAGGCCCAUAAAUACGAAAGGCCCAGUCCCCUGAUUAGGGUCCUGUGGAAAGAGGUGGAGCCUAAGAGAGGAGCCUGGCGGAAGUAAGUCAGGAAUGCCCUUGAAGAGUGAUCUCCCACUUCCCCUACUGCCGUCAACUCUGUGCUCUAACUCUACUCAUUUGCUUUGUUUCUUGAGGUAGGUACCCCCGGCCCCUGCCAAGGGAGGAAUGGUUUGUUUUUGUAUUUCAGAUGAGGAGCCAUAAGACAUCACAUCAGGAAAAUAAAGAUGAGACUGUUUGCCUCGUGCUACCCAGGAAGAGCAGAAAGUGGGCCAAGACAGUUUCUGUCCACAAGGACAGUGACUUGCUUUCCCCAGCUAGAUGCCAUAUCCUUCAGUGUACAGAACACCACAGAAUAGAACCGUAUGAUGGAACGAGCCGUAAACAUAUGACUUAUGGAGUAAAUUUCAUAUUCAAACCAUA